UCGUCUGCUAUACUGACGACACGCUGGU
rnacentral:sRNA from 1 species